rnacentral:rRNA from 1 species
GACGAACGCUGGCGGCGUGCUUAACACAUGCAAGUCGAACGGAAAGGCCCUGCUUUUGUGGGGUGCUCGAGUGGCGAACGGGUGAGUAACACGUGAGUAACCUGCCCUUGACUUUGGGAUAACUUCAGGAAACUGGGGCUAAUCCCGGAUAGGAGCUCCUGCUGCAUGGUGGGGGUUGGAAAGUUUCGGCGGUUGGGGAUGGACUCGCGGCUUAUCAGCUUGUUGGUGGGGUAGUGGCUUACCAAGGCAUUGACGGGUAGCAGGGCUGAGCGGGUAACCGGCCACGUUAGGACUGGGAUGAGGCCCAGCCCAGAAUGGGAGGCAAGGGUGGGGAAUAGUACACAAGAGGAGGAAGCCUGAUGCAGCAACGCAGCGUGCGGGAAGACGGGCAGGGGGUAGGAAACCGCUUUCGCCUGUGACGAAGCGUGAGUGACGGUAAUGGGUAAAGAAGCACCGGCUAACUACGUG